GGGUUUCAGUGUGGUAGCUCAGGUUGGCCUGCAAUCAGAGCGGACUUCCCAGGGGAGGCAGUACAGUCUCAGUGCGAAAGGUGGAGGGGGGACCGGGCAGCAGGAACCGCACAGUUAGGACUGGGAACAUAGGAGGUGCCUGAAGCAGUCAAACCCGGAGCAUGCAAGUGUGGGGUUUUUGUUCUCCCCAGCCUGUAGGGGUGCCUUGGAAAGGGGGCGAAAAGGCCCUCUCCCCUACCCCCUUCCCUGCCAUGGUGCAUCUUUUGGAGGGAACCGGUAAACUGAACAGGAAAUAGCUCAGAAACAGCAGGGCACCGACCCAGAAACCCAAACGGCCACCUCCCCUUAAACCGGGGAAAAGGAAGAGCAUUUAACAAAUGUGGGGGGUUGUAGCCCCAGGGGAUACGGCAGUGACCCAGCCACACAGUGCGCUUGGUGCUGAGGUUCUGGCCAGAUUCAUAUUUCGCCUGAUGGGGCAUGGUGGCCCCAGGGGGCUGUCCCCAGCCCACCAGCCUUUGCUCCCUGCAGAGAAGGGAAGGUUUCAGGGCAACAGUAAGAGCUCCUUAGUCUCUGAAAUACCCAGUGCGGGCCUUUAUUUGAGACCACCUUCAGCAUUCUCUGUGGCUGAAGAAAUCAGGCACCUAAGGGUGCCCACCCGGGAUUUGGGGGACCUUGCUGCGAGCCCUUAACUCCGGUCAGCCGAACCGUAAACAACGUGGCCCCAGAAACGGUGCGCUCUGGUUUCCAGAAGGCGGCUAACUGCCCAAAGUCGGCCCUGGGGGUAGGGCGGGCUCGGCCUCCUGGACUGCCGGUCUUGCGGGGUUGCUGUGCGCACGCGCCUCCUUCCGAAAGGGCGGGGCGGGUCCUGCCCACUCCUUGCGUCCUAUCCCCGCGCGUGCGCAGGGAGGGCCCCCCCACCCCCACCCCCGUCCUUCCAGAGCGGCGUGAGCGAGGCGGCGGUACCAUGGCCUUGGAGGCGAUCCGCUACUCCCGGGGCUCGCUGGAGAUCCUCGACCAGCUGCUGCUGCCCCAGCACAGCCGCUACGAGGCAGUGGGCUCGGUGCGCCAGGCCUGGGAGGCUAUCCGCGCCAUGAAGGUGCGCGGCGCCCCGGCCAUCGCGCUCGUGGGCUGUCUCAGCCUCGCCGUGGAGCUGCAGGCGGGUGCGGGGGGACCGGGCCUCGCCGCACUGGUGGCUUUCGUGCGCGACGCGCUGAGCUUCCUGGUCACCGCUCGGCCCACCGCGGUCAACCUGGCCCGCGCGUCCAGCCAGCUGGCCGACGCCGCAGCCUUGGAGGCCGAGCGCGAGGGCGCCACGGAAGAGACGGUCCGGGAGAGAGUGAUCUGCUGUGCCGAGGACAUGUUGGAGAAAGACCUCAGAGACAAUCGGAGCAUCGGGGACCUAGGAGCCCGCCACCUCCUGGAGCAGGUGGCUCCUGGGGGCGGCAAGGUGACCGUGUUGACCCACUGCAACACUGGUGCCCUGGCCACUGCUGGCUAUGGCACAGCCCUGGGGGUGAUCCGCUCGCUGCACACCCUGGGCCGUCUGGACCACGCCUUCUGCACGGAGACCCGGCCCUACAACCAGGGAGCCCGGCUGACUGCCUUCGAGCUGGUCUACGAGCAGAUCCCCGCCACGCUCAUCGCCGACAGCGCGGCAGCAGCCGCCAUGGCCCACAGAGGGGUGUCAGCCGUCAUCGUAGGAGCCGACCGCGUGGUUGCCAACGGUGACACAGCCAACAAGGUGGGCACCUACCAGCUGGCCAUCGCUGCCAAGCACCACGGCAUCCCCUUCUACGUGGCUGCCCCCAGCUCCUCGUGUGACCUCCAUCUGGAGACAGGCAGGGACAUCGUCAUCGAGGAGCGCCCAGGGCGGGAGCUGACCGACGUCAACGGGGUCAGGAUUGCAGCCCCCGGGAUUGGGGUUUGGAAUCCUGCCUUCGAUGUCACCCCCCACAACCUCAUCACCGGCGGCAUCAUCACAGAACUGGGGGUCUUUGCUCCUGAGGAGCUCCGGGCAGCCCUAAGCACCACCGUCUCCUGAGGGCGGGUACCCCAGCUGGACCCCAGAAGUAACCAAGCUGACUCUCCAUAUCCUGCCCCCAUUCCCUUAGGUUUUGCGAAGCCCUCCGUAUCGUCUACGUCUGUGGGCGUCUGUCUCUUUAAUGCCUUGCCCCGUUGUGUCCCGUGAGUCUUUGCGCGCGCCCCGCCGGCCCCACUGUAUCCCGUCGUGCUCUGCGUCUUCCGGC